GGGAGAUUUCAAUGCCGCGCUUUCAAUUGUCACGACGGCGGUGCCAAAAGUUUGAAGCCCGCCGUAGACGGUGUCAUGUUUGCAAAAUUCUCUGUGAUGAUGUGAACGAAGGUCUGAAAAAAUCACAGAACUCACUCGAACGACGGUGCCGCCGCUUGCCUCGCCGGACCAUGGCCGCUGUGCCGUCGGGGUUCCUCCUCAUCACUGGCCCGCCGGGCGUGGGGAAGACGACGCUGGUCAUGCGGGUGUUUGAAACCCUCAGAGGCUCCCACCCGAACCUCAACAUUCGCGGAUUCUAUACCCGAGAGGUGAGAGAGGGCGGAGAAAGGAUAGGGUUCGAGGUUGUCACGCUCGACGGUAGAACUGGACCACUUUCCUCAUGCAAGGUUUCCAGGUUGCUAUUAUGCAUUUAUGCUUGUUCUAAAUUCUGAUAUUAAUAAGGUAAUUGUUGGUAUUUGUUUAGCACCGUGUAUUUGGGUAUUUGGAAUUUUGAAAUGCGUUAUCUGAUACUGGAGAUUGUCAGUAGUUUAAAUUGUAUCUAACAGCAGCGCGAACACACUUCACUGAAAUGUCCACUUCUUAAGUCCAUCUUGCAGAAUAAGAUUCACAAUAUGUGUAGCACAUCUCAUAUGAAGGUACUUUCCUACAAGUAUGGUACCUUUACUAUUAUUUAGUUGUUUCUUCAGAUAUGAUAAACCACUGUUAUUAGCACUAGCAUUAUCAACUGUUACUGUCAUAAUUUUUCCUAACCCAUUCCAUCAAGCAUCUAUGUAAGUUCUUCCCAAUGACAUCCCCCUUAUGACCCUUUACUUGGAAGAAGCUAAUGACCUUCUUAUGCAAAUUCCAAUUAUCAUCAACGAAGUGUGCAGUCACUGUAAUAUAGUAGUCUUGUUGUUGAGAAGUCCAACAAUCAGUGGUAAGGCAAACCCUUUCACAUUUCUGUUUUCAAAAGUGCAUCAACUUUGCUUUUUCCUGAAAGUAAAUGCGAAUGAUGUCCCUAGUGCAAGUCCAUCGGGAUGGAGGCUCAAAACGAGGGCAAGCAAUGGACAUAAACUUUCUAAAGCCUGCCUUCUCACCAAACGCAAAAGGAAGUUCAUCUUGUAUGACCAUUUCAUUAAAAGCUUGUCUAAGCAACUCAGGAUCAUACCUUCAUGCGCUAACACCUUGUCCAUCAGUAGCUUGCAAAGUACCUUGCUUAUUGUCCUUGUUCAGUUUAUGGGGAUUGCGCUUACAUGUAUUAAAGUGCUUUCGCAUUCUAGAUGUACCAUUGGUUGUUGUAUCAGCCCAAAUAUUAUGGCUGCAAUACUUGCACUGUCCCUUCUUUACCAUGUUGUUUGCAUCCUUUAUUUUGAUGAAAUGCUACCACAUUUCGGAACGGGGAGCCAUCACUUUCCUUUCACUUCCUUUGUUUUCUCCAUCACUAACUUGAACAACCUCAACAGAACCACCUGUAUCUCCCACAUUUGAAGCACAAGCACCAUCAACAACAGGUUUCAGUGCAGAUGACAUCUACAAAAGAAUAAAAUGGGCAACACAUGAUACACAUCAACAAUCAUCCCGGAGUCUGUUAGAUGGCCUACCGUCGGGAAAUACAAAGUAGACGUAGCAUCCUUGGAAUCAUUAGCAGUACCUGAGCUGCAGGUUAAGGAAGAAACAGAUCUCUUCAUCAUUGACGAAGUGGGUAAAAUGGAGCUGUUCAGUUCAGCAUUUUUCCCUGCGGUAAUGAGAGUUAUUGAAUCCAAUAUACCAGUGUUGGCCACCAUACCCAUUCCUAGGCAGGGCCGGGACAUUCCAGGAGUUGCGAGGUUGCGGAAUCAUCCUGGAGCAGCUGUUUUCACCUUAGACACUGGUAACAGAGAUACGAUGAGAGAUACUAUAUGCAGUCAGCUAAGGAGUUUGUUGCAGAGGUGAUCUGCUAACCUCCCUGUGUCUAUGUAGCCACUGCUUUUUUUGACAUAAGAUAACAAGCAAACGAUCAAGAGUAGAAGUUUUCUCUCAGAACCUCGAGUAUCUGUUUUCAAGUUUAGCUCUGAAUGGAUGAUAAGCAUGUCGUUCAGUUUGUUCUUAGUUCCGUAUGUGGUUAUUCAAUCAUGUAUUUGCAUUCGGUGGGGGCAAGGUUUUAUUGCCACAAUAACUCUCGCUUGUAUGGAUGCGGUUAGCAUGUAGUGACUCUACAACAGGUAUCACAUGAUUUGCACAA